rnacentral:rRNA from 1 species
GACGAACGCUGGCGGCGUGCCUAAUACAUGCAAGUAGAACGCAGUUGCGAACGGGUGAGUAAUGUCUGGGAACUGCCCGAUGGAGGGGGAUAACUACUGGAAACGGUAGCUAAUACCGCAUACCAUCGGAUGUGCCCAGCUGGGAUUAGCUAGUAGGUGGGGUAACUGCUCCCCUAGGCGACGAUCCCUAGCCGACCUGGGAGGGUGAUCGGCAACACUUGGACUGAGAACCGGCCCAGACUCCUACGGGAGGCAGCAGUAGGGAAUCUUCGGCAAUGGACGGAAGUCUGACCGAGCCACGCCGCGUGAGUGAAGAAGGUUUUCGGAUCGUAAAGCUCUGUUGUUAGAGAAGCGGUAACUAACCAGAAAGGGACGGCUAACUACGUGCCAGCAGCCGCGGUAAUUC